rnacentral:RNase_P_RNA from 1 species
CGGGUCUGUCAGGUGAUAGCGGCGGAUUCGUUCCGUUGAGGAAAGUCCGUACUCCACAGGGCACAAAACCGGGGAAAUCCCGGGGCGGGGCAACUUGCCGGUAGGGCCACAGAAACAUACCGCCCGUCAGGGUAAGGGUGAAAAGGUGGUGUAAGAGACCACCGGCUGCUGCAGCAAUGCAGCGGUCAGGCAACCCCUUUUGGGAGCAAGGUCAAGCAGGCGCUUCAAUCGUUGGAACUGCCCCUUCCCUCACUGCAAUGUGAGAGCGCCGGGUAGACCGCUCAGAUAGAUUAUCACCCCGGUGAUUCUUCACCGGACAGAAUGCGGCUUAUAGACCAACCCGGCAA